UUUCGCAAUGCCCGAAAGGGUGACGAAGUGACGCCGCGUGGGGGAAGAAGGCCUUCGGGUUGUAAACCUCUGUCAGGAGCCAGGAAAUGCAGGGUGUUAAUAGCUCCCUGUUUGACUACAGCUCCAGAGGAAGCCAUGGCUAACUCUGUGCCAGCAGCCGCGGUAAUACAGAGAUGGCAAGCGUUGUUCGGAAUCAUUGGGCGUAAAGCGCGCGUAGGCGGCCUAGCAAGUCGGGUGUGAAAUCCCCUGGCUCACCCAGGGAACUGCAUCCGAUACUACUAGGCUUGAGGACAGGAGGGGAGAGUGGAACUUCUGGUGGAGCGGUGAAAUGCGUAGAUAUCAGAAGGAACAUCGGUGGCGAAAGCGACUCUCUGGCCUGUAUCUGACGCUGAGGUGCGAAAGCUAGGGGAGCAAACGGGAUUAGAUACCCCGGUAGUCCUAGCCGUAAACUAUGGGCACUAAGUAGAGGGGUUUU
rnacentral:rRNA from 1 species